GAGGAAUACAUGGGUAACCUACCCUCGAGUGGGGAAUAACUAGCCGAAAGGUUAGCUAAUACCGCGUACGCCUCCCGGACUGCGGUUCGGGAAGGAAAGCGAUACCGUGGGUAUCGCGCUCUUGGAUGGGCUCAUGCCCUAUCAGCUUGUUGGUGAGGUAACGGCUCACCAAGGCUUCGACGGGUAGCUGAUCUGAGAGGAUGAUCAGCCACACUGGCACUGCGACACGGGCCAGACUCCUACGGGAGGCAGCAGUAAGGAGUAUUGCGCAAUGGGCGCAAAGCCUGACGCAGCGACGCCGCGUGGGGGAUGAAGGUCUUCGGAUUGUAAACCCCUUUCGGGAGGGAAGAUGGGAUGGGGUAACCCAAACGGACGGGACCUCCAGAA
rnacentral:rRNA from 1 species